rnacentral:lncRNA from 1 species
GUUAGCUGGCUGGCUCGCUAACCAACAUUAAUUCAUGCGUUGGGAUUAAUUGUUCACCUAGUUAGCUAUCUAGAUAUAUUUCUUAGCAAAAGUGUGCCAGAGCGCAGAAUAAGUGAUUAAUUUUUAAUCCUAAACACCAGUUGAAUAUGUCCAGUGUCAGUAAACGUAGGCAACAAAGUGUAAUUCAAUUGUGGCCAGCAGCACAGUUACAGUCACCAACGCUCUGGAUAACAUGAAAACGGCCAAACCAGCUCUGCUAGGGUGAGUAAAAUGGUCAGAGUGGUGUGUUCUGUCAUUGUGUCUGGAAGUAGCUAGCCAAUGUUAGCCAGUUAGCUUGGGUGCUUGACUGUAGUUGUGAGGUCAGAGCUUUCGGAUCAACCCUACUUAUUGGCCAGAGCGUCCAUUGUGCGCUCUGAACGCGAAACGCUCUGCGUUUACGAAUGGACUAUCUGACAGCACACCAAGAUAACAUAACAGCCUAACCAGCUCUGCUAGGGCGAGUAAUGUUUAGUGAGCUGUUCUCUCUCUCUUAAUUGUCUGGAAGUAGCUGGCAAAUAGAGAAUUGUCAAAUGCAGGUCUGUGGACAACUCUCCUCGGGGGGCUUCAGAGAUGAUGCGUUUGUGGAUUUCACCCCCAGAAGUUAGGAGUUAAAAUGAAUAAAGUUAACAGGCUAAAACAACAUGUAUUCUCUUUUCUGAUUGACUGAAAUGAGAUACCGUGUUGUAGUGUUGUCGCUGUAUUUUCCCCCUAUAUUUUAAGCAGGUCUCUACCAGUGGAUCUACUGGACAAGUACCUACAGCUCCACCAGCGCCUGUGUCUGCUGUUCAGGCUCCUUCAUUGAGGACUGCAUUGAAUUUGUCAAUGGUGAAUUGGUUUCCUCCUCGGUUCAUCGGGACUUAGGUUUUACUCUCUCUUUUGCAGGUUUAAUAAGCAAAUGUUUUGGGGGCUCAUAUGUCUGCAGCAAGACCAAACCUUAACUUGGCAAGGAAGCUUGCUCAGCCAAAUACAAUACAGGCUAAUCUGUCAAAAGAUUGGUUUGUAUUGAUAAUCUGUUUCCACAACAGUAUAACUUUAAAUAAUCUUAAUGCAACUACAUAUUUGUUACAGACACAACAUGUCCGUAGCCCGGCCAAGUUGUCUACAGCCUUUGUGAGUGUCCCCACUCUUCCACCGGCCUCUGUGAGGGCCUCAUCCCUUUUCUGGCCUCUGUGAGGGCCCCCACCCCUACUCGGCAUCUGCGAGUGCCCAAAUCCCUGCA